CCUGGGUAAGACCAAAGAAAUGAUCCCUCCGGGGGAGAGGCCCCUUCAGUGUCACUAUAGGAGCUCAAGAUGUCAACCCUGGGCCUGGGCUCCCCGGGCUCACAUCCCUUUGUGAUUUGCCCGGGGCAGGCCGGCUUAGGUGUGUCGGGAAAAAUCUCUCUAGAUCACACCGUGGGCUGCAGGCGUUGAGAACCACCGAUCUGGGCCGAGUCCCCCACAGUAGUGAAUGCUUUUCUUUGUCGUCUCUACAACGGAAUUAGGACUUUUUCUGGAGUGAUGGAGGCCCAGAGAAGGGGUUGAAUUACCCAGGGUCCCGCAAAGAUUACAUGAUGGCGGUCCAAGAAUUCGUCUUUAGCAGGUCAAUAGGAAAGUGCUUUGCAAUUGUUAAAUUAACAGAAAAACCCAAUCUGUUGUGUUACAUAGCUGGUGUUCUGUACCUGAGCACUUCUCACAACAGCCUGGGAUUAUGGCCCCGUAUUACUCUCCAGGAAAGGGAGACCCAGAAAGGUGGCCUCACGUAUCCUCUUGUAAAUAAAAUCAGACAUAGAUCUGUCCCAUAGAGGGUGGAAUUUUCUAUUUUUAAACUUCACUUGAUAUAUUUUAUGGACCCUGGGUGUCCAGUAAACUAAAGCAGGCAUUUAGGAUUGGCACCAAGAUGUCAAAGAAAAAUCAGUCCCGUCCUCGGAUUGGAGAAAAGAGACACAGGCUGAGACGCAAGGCAGGUGGGAAGGAGAGCUGAUGAGGGAGCAAAAGGGAAACGAAGGCGGAGCACAAGCUAACACCCUACACCGCCUCCUCUGGAGUGGGAUCUGUGUGACAUUCCUCAGGCGCCCCUGAUGCCCAAAAACAAAGGGAAGGGAAAAACAAAUGAUUAACUGCUAGAGAUCACGGUCAUGCGGGACACGGGACAUGACUCUUCAUCAGUUUGCAACUGUCUUAGUAAUUUACAAGAAAAACACCAUCCCCAGAAACCUGUAGACUCAGUUCCCUGGGACCCCCACCUCCAUGGGAAAGAAAAUCUUAUGUAAUCAGUCACUCCUCACAAUCCUAGGGCGGCUCUUUUCUGUCCCCAGGUCCUGUCCCUGUGCUAUAAUAAAAUCACCUUUUUGCACCAAAAACGUCUCAAGAAUUCUUUCUUGGCCGUUGUCUCCGGAACCCCCGCCUCCAGACAUGCCGGAAUGAGCUCUGAGGACUGAGAGCACUGCCUGUGCACUGCAGUGAAGAGACGCCUGACUCCUAGAGUAGCACGGGAGGGACCCCUUUUACCUGUCCAGAGACGCUCAGGGAAGAAGGGAAUUGGGAUGCAAGGUCUUUGGAGUUUCCCGCUUGUCUACGUCCAGCUGCCUGAUGAGUCUUUCCUUCCCUGGGAGUCGGGAGAAGCAGACUGGCCAUACAGCUUGGAAUGCAGGUGAGAUGGCUGGAGCUCUGGCCGGCUUAGAUCCCAGCUGUGGGGGAAGGGCUGCUAACAGGAACCUGGCAAAUCUGUGCAGUUUCCAGACCGGCCCCGGACUUUCUGGAUUUCCUG